UGGCUCAGAACGAACGCUGGCGGCGUGCCUAACACAUGCAAGUCGAACGGGACCGCAAGGUUCGGUGGCGGACGGGUGCGUAACACGUGAGGAACAGAUCCAUCGGUGGGGGAUAGCCGGCCCAACGGCCGGGUAAUACCGCGUACGACCCUUGAGCGGCAUCACUCUGGGGUGAUAGCAGCAAUGCGCCGAUGGGAUGCCUCGCGGCCUAUCAGCUAGUUGGUGAGGUAACGGCUCACCAAGGCUACGGCGAAUAGCUGGUCUGAGAGGAUGACCAGCCUCACUGGGACUGUGUCUCGGCCCAGAGAAAUACGGGAGGCAGC
rnacentral:rRNA from 1 species